AUCCGAGUUGUAAUCUAUAGAAGUGUUUUCCGUGCUGGCUCAUGUACAAGUCCCUUGGAACAGGGCGUCAUAGAGGGUGAGAAUCCCGUCCUUGACAUGAACUACCAGUGCUCUGUGAUACAUUUUCAACGAGUCGAGUUGUUUGGGAAUGCAGCUCAAAAUGGGUGGUAAAUUCCAUCUAAAGCUAAAUAUUGGCGAGAGACCGAUAGCGAACAAGUACCGUGAGGGAAAGAUGAAAAGCACUUUGGAAAGAGAGUUAAACAGUAUGUGAAAUUGUUAAAAGGGAAACGAUUGAAGUCAGUCGUGCUCUUUGGAUUCAGCCGGUUCUGCCGGUGUACUUCCUUUGAGUGGGGUCAACAUCAGUUUUGAUCGCUGGAUAAAGGCUGGAGGAACGUAGCACCCCCGGGUGAACUUAUAGCCUCCUGUCACAUACA
rnacentral:rRNA from 1 species